rnacentral:rRNA from 1 species
CGUGGAGACAGGUGGUGCAUGGUUGUCGUCAGCUCGUGUCGUGAGAUGUUGGGUUAAGUCCCGCAACGAGCGCAACCCUUGUUGUUAGUUGCCAGCAUUUAGUUGGGCACUCUAGCAAGACUGCCGGUGUUAAACCGGAGGAAGGUGGGGACGACGUCAAGUCCUCAUGGCCUUUAUGCCCAGGGCUACACACGUGCUACAAUGGCCGGUACAACGGGUUGCCACACAGUAAUGUGGAGCUAAUCCCUUAAAACCGGCCCCAGUUCGGAUUGGAGGCUGCAACUCGCCUUCAUGAAGUCGGAAUCGCUAGUAAACGUGGAUCAGCAUGCCACGGUGAAUACGUUCCCGGGCCUUGUACACACCGCCCGUCACACCACGAAAGUCUGCUGUACUCGAAGUCGCUGAG